GAGAUCACUUUAUGGAGCCAUUUGUAGACUUGGCACAAACCGGAAGUGGCAAAUUGGAGGAUGCAGAGGCACCUGACUGCAAGAUGCACGGUGGAGACUGUAGCAGGGCAAACUAGGAGAUGCCCUGAGACUGAGACGCAAUGGGCUUCACACAAUGCCUGGCACAUAAGAAGCACCUGAUAAAUGCCGGUUGACUGAUGACUAUUGACUAGUGGCUUUAUCUGUUUGAAGACCAUUACUGAAGGUUUCUGGUGGCUGGCACCUUUCCGAGAUGAAGACAGCCCAGGACCCAGAAACCAGGAACCUUUGGAGGAGUAAUGCUUCCAGCCCAGUGUCAAACGAUUCAACAUUAGAAAUGGAUACGAUUUCAUCAGUGGAAAUACCUUUCAGCCUAAAAGGAAAUCAGCAGGAGCCAGGAAUACAUUUGUCUUUUCUUUUGAACCAAGC